rnacentral:piRNA from 1 species
UAAUUUUUAAGAAGAGUGACUUGAUGCCA